rnacentral:tRNA from 1 species
GCGGGCAUCGUAUAAUGGCUAUUACCUCAGCCUUCCAAGCUGAUAAUGCGGGUUCGAUUCCCGCUGCCCGCUCCA